rnacentral:lncRNA from 1 species
CAGGUGUUCUGGAAGGUGCUGUGCACAGAUAGCAGGACAUUUGCCGUCUGUCACCUCUCUCUGGGUCAUGCUGGGCUGGCAGGCCCAGGACUGGCCACCGUGAGGGUCUGUGGGCCAAGCUAUUGGGUUCUGACCAAGGCAACUGUGUGGUCAGGGUGCUGUGCUGGGAGCCGGGAGCCCUGGGGCCGCAGAGGCCCAGCACUGAUGGCAGCAGAUUCCAUUCUCACGUGGCAGACACUGUUCUACAGAAGAGAACGGUCCGUGCACAGAGGCUGGGAUAGAGGGACGAGGGGUGCUGGUCUGUUCCCGGUUCUGCCCUGACGGCCCACGUCAGGGGCACCUUCCACCAAGCGGUUCCAGUCCCCAUCUCGGUCAGUGGGAGCCGACCAGGCCAGCUCCUUCGUGCCUCCCUCCCCACAUCCAGUCCCUGGAAACACUGGUGCCCCACGCGCUCCACUCUCGCUGCUCCCCUGCCCCCCGCAGCCACCCACCUCCCGUGGACCUCUGGGCACCCAGUGGGUCAGCCCAAGCAGAUGCACUGCAUGGGGGCAACGCCCAGGGCCCCGUGGCUGAGCCCCUGCCCGCCUUCCCGGUUCAUGCCGCGCGGCCCCUCCUCGCAGGGGCUGUUCCCUCCUGCGGGCCCUCAGGUUCCAGCCAGUUCCCCAUCGGGUUGUCAGGUCGACGCCUUAAGUACUUGGGUGCAACUUCACUGUGUGCUCAGGAGACAGGCUUCGUCUCCACGCGCCUGGACCUGAGGCCCAGGAUGCAGCCCUCACCCUCCAGAUGCAGGAGGUUCCCCAGUCCCCAUCCCGAGAGUCGGGGCAGGCUGGGGGCGGACUUCUUGCCUGGAAGACCCCCACCCUACAAACACCUGCCGUGGGGAAUGGCCAAGGAACUCGCACGGUGCCAAGCGCAGAGCCGUGGGACCUCCCCGGCCAGGCCGUGGGAACCACCCGCGUGCACCCUGUGGUUCGGUGCCAUCUCUCUGGUGGGUUCUGAGGACGGACGUGGGGAAUCCACAGGGUGUCCUGGUGCUGCUGCCUGACGUGGAGCCAUGUGCCGACCCGUGGAAGCAGGUCCUGGGGCCUCAAGGCCAGGAGGCAGGGGCGGGACGGCCAGGCCUGAAGGAGCCAAGACACCCCACCCUGUUCAGAUUCUGAGGUCCUCACCCCGUGAUUGGGACUCUG